GAGGUGCAGUGUGGAGGAGCCGACGUGCAAAAGCGUGGCUGAAUUGCUGAGAUGUGGCUCCAAAGGACGAGAAGUAGGGGUUGAGGAGUGGAACUCUUAAGGCGCAUGAGGGGCACAGGAUUUGAGAAGGAAGGGUUGUUUUGUUUUCAUUGAGUUUCUGAAGCUCUUUGUGGAUCCUGGAUAAGAGCCCCUAUCUGUUUACACAGUAUUCUACAUAAAUACAAGUGCUAUUCUGGCCUUUGCUGCUUGAAAAACGCCUUUAGAUCACCUCUUCAUUUUGCAAGUCUCUUUGUUUACUUACUUAUUUGAAAGCGAAGUGAUAAUUAUCCCAGCAUCUGCUACCAUCCCAGGUCUGUUAGCAGGUCUCUGGAUGGGAAGAGGAGCAGUCUGGACUUGAACUGGAGGACCCAGUAGAAUUCCCCAUAUUGGAAUAUUGGAGGUCAGCUUCCCGCAACGUCAGCUACAUUGCUACUCCAUCCUAUUUGGAUCAACGUUUCCUUGACAUAGGACGUUAAGAUUAAGCUGUCUUUUAUCAAAAGCCUCAAGUCCCUAUAGUUAUACAUUUGUGUGAAUGAAAAUAUUUCUGAGGGACAAAACCCUUUUUGGAGACAACACACCCCAAUUCCUAAACUUCCGAUAAGCUUGGUAGCAG